rnacentral:rRNA from 1 species
GACGAACGCUGGCGGCGUGCCUAAUACAUGCAAGUUGAGCGCUGAAGGUUGGUACUUGUACCAACUGGAUGAGCAGCGAACGGGUGAGUAACGCGUGGGGAAUCUGCCUUUGAGCGGGGGACAACAUUUGGAAACGAAUGCUAAUACCGCAUAAAAACUUUAAACACAAGUUUUAAGUUUGAAAGAUGCAAUUGCAUCACUCAAAGAUGAUCCCGCGUUGUAUUAGCUAGUUGGUGAGGUAAAGGCUCACCAAGGCGAUGAUACAUAGCCGACCUGAGAGGGUGAUCGGCCACAUUGGGACUGAGACACGGCCCAAACUCCUACGGGAGGCAGCAGUAGGGAAUCUUCGGCAAUGGACGAAAGUCUGACCGAGCAACGCCGCGUGAGGGAAGAAGGGUUUCGGAUCGUAAAACUCGGUUGGUAGAGAAGAACGUUGGUGAGAGUGGAAAGCUCAUCAAGUGACGGUAACUACACAGAAAGGGACGGCUAACUACGUG